rnacentral:rRNA from 1 species
UACGGAGGGUGCGAGCGUUGUCCGGAAUCACUGGGCGUAAAGGGCGCGUAGGCGGCCUGGUAAGUAGGGGGUGAAAUCCUGCGGCUUAACCGCAGGGCUGCCUUCUAAACUGUCAGGCUCGAGCACGGUAGAGGCAGAUGGAAUUCCCGGUGUAGCGGUGGAAUGCGUAGAGAUCGGGAGGAACAUCAGUGGCGAAGGCGGCCAUCUGGGACAACACUGACGCUGAAGCACGAAAGCGUGGGGAGCAAACAGG